rnacentral:rRNA from 1 species
AAGCCCACCCUAGCUCCACCACCCAUCAUCAAAAAUCCACUGCCCCUACCCAACUAAACCAUUACUCCCAACUUAGUAUAGGCGAUAGAAAAGUACAACUCGGACGCCAUAGAGACAGUACCGUAAGGGAAAGGUGAAAUAACAAUGAAAACCAAGCACUACAUAGCAAAGAUAAUCCCUUGUACCUUUUGCAUCAUGAUCUAGCAAGAAUAACCAGGGAAAGCGAACUUAAGCCUGGCCACCCCGAAACCCAAGCGAGCUUCUCACAAGCAAGUGGUUACCAGC